UGCGUAGGCGGAUUAAUAAGUCAGUGGUGAAAUCUUUCGGCUCAACCGGGAAACUGCCAUUGAUACUGUUAGUCUUGAGUUCGGUUGAGGUAGGCGGAAUGUGUAAUGUAGCGGUGAAAUGCUUAGAUAUUACACAGAACACCAAUUGCGUAGGCAGCUUACUAGACCGACACUGACGCUGAGGCACGAAAGCGUGGGGAGCGAACAGGAUUAGAUACCCUGGUAGUCC
rnacentral:rRNA from 1 species